GACGAACGCUGGCGGCGUGCUUAACACAUGCAAGUCGAACGGAAAGGCCCUGCUUUUGUGGGGUGCUCGCGUGGCGAACGGGUGAGUAACACGUGAGUAACCUGCCCUUUACUUUGUGAUAACUUCAGGCAACUGGGGCUAAUACCUGAUAGGAGCUCCUGCUGCAUGGUGGGGGUUGGACAGUUUCGGCGGUUGGGGAUGGACUCGCGGUUUAUCAGCUUGUUGGUGGGGUAGUGGCUUACCAAGGCUUUGACGGGUAGCCGGCCUGAGAGGGUGACCGGCGACAUUGGGACUGAGAUACGGCCCAGACUCCUACGGGAGGCAGCAGUGGGGAAUAUUGCACAAUGGGCGGAAGCCUGAUGCAGCAACGCCGCGUGCGGGAUGACGGCCUUCGGGGUGUAAACCGCUUUCGCCUGUGACGAAGCGUGAGUGACGGUAAUGGGUAAAGAAGCACCGGCUAACUACGUG
rnacentral:rRNA from 1 species